rnacentral:rRNA from 1 species
AUGGCUCAGGAUGAACGCUAGCGGCAGGCUUAACACAUGCAAGUCGAGGGGCAUCGGGAGUAGCAAUACUUGCCGGCGACCGGCGCAAGGGUGCGUAACGCGUGAGCAACAUGCCCGUAUCAGGGGGAUAAUCCAUGGAAACGUGGUCUAAUACCCCAUAGUAAUUAUGUAAGGCAUCUUAUAUAAUUUAAAGCUUUGGUGGAUACGGAUUGGCUCGCGUGACAUUAGCUGGAUGGUAAGGUAACGGCUUACCAUGGCUACGAUGUCUAGGGGUUCUGAGAGGAAGGUCCCCCACACUGGAACUGAGACACGGUCCAGACUCCUACGGGAGGCAGCAGUGAGGAAUAUUGGACAAUGGAUGGAAAUCUGAUCCAGCCAUGCCGCGUGCAAGGAAGACGGCCCUAUGGGUUGUAAACUGCUUUUGUAUGGGAGCAAUAAGGGCUACGUGUAGUCCGAUGAGAGUACCAUACGAAUAAGCACCGGCUAACUCCGUGCCAGCCGCAGC